rnacentral:rRNA from 1 species
GUCGAACAAGUUUCCGUAGGUUCAAUUUCACUAAACAUCCUCUUCCUUGGAGAAUUCCUUUAACAUAUUGAAAUUAUACAUCCGGCAUGUUAAUGACGUUCUGGAGGGUUUGCUGGCGAAAAGUUGGCUCCUCUGAAAUGCAUUAGUGAAACCUUUCCAAACGGAAAAGCUUUUGAUAAUUGCUUUUGUCUAUGCCAUUGCCGUCGCCGUGAUGAUUUCGCUUACAACUGUCCUUUGGACAAAUCUUGACCUCAUUUGACCUCAAAUCAGGUAGGACUACCCGCUGAACUUAAGCAUAUCAAUAAGC